AGAAUGACUCUCGGCAACGGAUAUCUAGGCUCUUGCAUCGAUGAAGAACGUAGCGAAAUGCGAUACUUGGUGUGAAUUGCAGAAUCCCGUGAACCAUCGAGUCUUUGAACGCAAGUUGCGCCCGAAGCCAUCAGGUUGAGGGCACGUCUGCCUGGGCGUCACA
rnacentral:rRNA from 6 species